UUAAAAAAAAUGUAUAUAUUUACUUACUUCCUGAAAAGAAUACUCUUCCAGUGUAUGCUAUAUCUUCAAUUUCUUCUGUACCAUCCUCUCGAAGAUUUGAUGUAGGAAAGAAAACUGUCACAUUAUCUUCAUCCAAGAAGUUCAAAGUGCCAGGUUGAAGUGCGUCUAAUGUGUUAAGCUAGAAUCUCCCGCCAGUGCGCUCUCCUAUGUUGAAGGCGCUGAUUUCCGGUAGGUAUAAAGUUGUUACGGCGCAAGAACGCGAUGGAGACCCCACCGAAAAA